rnacentral:rRNA from 1 species
UACGUAGGUGGCAAGCGUUAUCCGGAAUUAUUGGGCGUAAAGCGCGCGCAGGUGGUUUCUUAAGUCUGAUGUGAAAGCCCACGGCUCAACCGUGGAGGGUCAUUGGAAACUGGGAGACUUGAGUGCAGAAGAGGAAAGUGGAAUUCCAUGUGUAGCGGUGAAAUGCGCAGAUAUCAGGAAGAACACCCGUGGCGAAGGCGGCUAUCUGGACGGUUUCUGACGCUAAGACGCGAAAGCGUGGGGAGCAAACAGG